rnacentral:rRNA from 1 species
UUAAUCGGAAUUACUGGGCGUAAAGCGUGCGCAGGCGGUUCGCUAAGACAGAUGUGAAAUCCCCGGGCUUAACCUGGGAACUGCAUUUGUGACUGGCGGGCUAGAGUAUGGCAGAGGGGGGUAGAAUUCCGCGUGUAGCAGUGAAAUGAGUAGAGAUGUGGAGGAAUACCGAUGGUGAAGGCAGCCCCCUGGACCAAUACUGACGCUCAUGCACGAAAGCGUGGGGAGCAAACAGGAUUAGAUCCCGUGGUAGUCCACGCCCUAAACGAUGUCAACUAGUUGUCGGGU